GUGUCAGCCGCCGCGGUAAUACGUAGGUGGCGAGCGUUGUCCGGAAUUACUGGGUGUAAAGGGCGUGUAGGCGGGGGCAUAAGUCAGAUGUGAAAUCCCGGGGCUUAACUCCGGGGCUGCAUCUGAAACUAUGUUUCUUGAGUGCUGGAGAGGGAAGCGGAAUUCCUAGUGUAGCGGUGAAAUGCGUAGAUAUUAGGAGGAACACCAGUGGCGAAGGCGGCUUCCUGGACAGUAACUGACGCUGAGGCGCGAAAGCGUGGGGAGCGAACAGGAUUAGAUACCCUGGUAGUCCACGCCGUAAACGAUGGAUACUAGGUGUAGGAGGUAUCGACCCCUUCUGUGCCGGAGUUAACACAAUAAGUAUCCCACCUGGGGAGUACGGCCGCAAGGUUGAAACUCAAAUAAAUUGACGG
rnacentral:rRNA from 1 species